GUCGUCAACUGAAGCAGAUCACCAGUCACUUUGGAGCCAUUGUAUAGCUAAUGUAUAGAUAGCAACACGUGGCUAAUAGUUUGGGGUGAGUGAAAAUGUUAGAAUUUUAAAAGAAAUAUGAACUAGACCCAUGGGUUAAUAUAUUGGUCAAAGAACUAUUUUUAUGCAGUACCUUGGCAUCAUUCAGUGUGGUAAAGAUGAAGAGUAUUUUAGGAAACAUGGAUAAACUAAUGCUGUUUUUUUUGUUUUUGUUUUUUUUUCAGGUUCUGCUCAGCUGCAUUUAAUUACAGCUAAUCAAACUACUGACCAGUGUAAGGUAUUACUGAAUUGUAAAGUCACAAAUCUUUCCCAGAACAACACCAACAAUAUGAUUCUUACAUGGAACUUUAAUGAAGAGAGGAUCUACUAUUUUGAUGCUACUAAAACAGUAAAGGGUGCUGUUGUAGUAAAAGAUAUAUCAGAAUUAGGAAAUGGAAAUGCUUCUUUGUGUAUAGAAAAACCUCGCAGUGGAAGAUAUACGUGUUCAGUAACGGAGAUAAGUACAUCGGGGCGGUCAACGUUUUAUCUGGAAGCAAAGGAUUUAUUUCCUAAAGAAGCAUUUACAGCCUACUGCAUACUGUAUGCUGGGAUUCUGCUUUGCGUCAUUAUUCAGAUGAUCUUUUCAUUUUUACGU